UGGUCAUCGAAAUUAAAUUUUAUUAAUCGACAUAGCUAGGACUAUCAGAUCAAGGUGAUCUUUUGUAACCAUACUCUAAUGAUAAUUAUUUAGAUAAUGAAUGAUGAAGAUAAAUUUUAAAUUUUAAAAUUAUAUCAUAUUCAAAAAAAAUAUGAAAUUUAUAUUCUAUCCAUGGCAGCGGUUAUUCAUAAUCGCUACCAUAUCACCUAUUGCAGCGGUUAUGCAUAAUCGCUGCCAUA
rnacentral:lncRNA from 1 species